AAUUUUGGACAUUGGGGGAAACCCUGAUCCAGCCAUCCCGCGUGUAUGAUGAAGGCCUUCGGUUUGUAAAGUACUUUUGUCAGAGAAGAAAAGGUAUCCCCUAAAACGGGAUACAGCUGACGGUACCUGCAGAAUACGCACCGGCUAACAAGGUGCCAGCAGCCGCGGUAAUACGUAGGGUGCAAACGUUAAUCGGAAUUACUGGGCUGAAAGCGUGUGUAGGCGGUUCGGAAAGAAAGAUGUGAAAACCCAGGGCUCAACCUUGGAACUGCAUUUUUAACUGCCGAGCUAGAGUAUGUCAGAGGGGGGUAGAAUUCCACGUGUAGCAGUGAAAUGCGUAGAUAUGUGGAGGAAUACCGAUGGCGAAGGCAGCCCCCUGGGAUAAUACUGACGCUCAGACACGAAAGCGUGGGGAGCAAACAGG
rnacentral:rRNA from 1 species